GUCCUCCGGGGGCCCCGCACUGUCCUGGCAUGGCUUUGUACUGUCUCGCUUCAAAGCUAUCCGCCCCAUAAGAGAGACCGACAGAGGAGCCACAACGCACUCGCCAUCGUUCUACCUGAUACUGCAAGCCUGUAAAGAGUCAUAUAGCAUCACUAGAGUCAUUCAUCAGAAAGCUGAGACAACACUACGUGACUGUGGGUGGCCUCCUUGCCCUCUGACUCCUUUGGGUGCUGCUGCUGUCACCCGGGUUUACCGUCAGACUGACUGUGAUGGCAGGUCUGACCUCACCUUGAUGUGACUGAGACAGAAAAGAGAAAAAUUUAACAAGAACAAUCUGGAAAGAUCCCAGAGUCCUGAAGACUGUUGCCAUGGCGCUCAUAAACUGGCCUCCCCUCCGCUCGUGCGCGCAGCUCCACUUGCGAAGAGCCUAAGUGCUUCACAGAGAGAGAGACAAAAACUCAAAUGAAAUCACGCCACAGUGAGUUAUUUCUGGCUGGGUUAGUCUCAUUUCUCUGGGCUCCGUGAUAAUGGAGAACACUUGAAUAAUGAAUGCCGGGGAUAAUACUCUUCCUCCCGAUGAAGAGGAGGCCUACAUUUCUUGGACUGCCUCUAGAUGUGUUUCCUAAAGCUCUUUAAUCUAAAUCAUAUAUGUUCAGCGCUAAGGAAGAUACUGACCCAUCGGCUUCAUUCCUCGACUGUUGUGUUUUCUCAUGCAGCUCAUUGGCUGGUGCAUAAUACAUGUUAGUUAGCAGACAGCGUGACCUCAAGUAACUAUGAGCCUAUUUAUAUACAGUACAUGGUUUCAGAGGGAUG